rnacentral:rRNA from 1 species
UACGGAGGGUGCAAGCGUUAAUCGGAAUUACUGGGCGUAAAGCGCACGCAGGUGGCUGAGAAAGUCGAUUGUGAAAGCCCUGGGCUUAACCUGGGAAUUGCAGUCGAAACUACUCGGCUAGAGUAUGGGAGAGGGUAGUGGAAUUCCCGGUGUAGCGGUGAAAUGCGUAGAUAUCGGGAGGAACAUCAGUGGCGAAGGCGGGUCUCUGGACAGUUCCUGACGCUGAGGCACGAAGGCCAGGGGAGCAAACGGG